rnacentral:rRNA from 1 species
AACGAACGCUGGCGGCAUGCCUAACACAUGCAAGUCGAACGAGACCUUCGGGUCUAGUGGCGCACGGGUGCGUAACGCGUGGGAACCUGCCCUUAGGUUCGGAAUAACUCCCCGAAAGGGGUGCUAAUACCGGAUAAUGUCUUCGGACCAAAGAUUUAUCGCCUUUGGAUGGGCCCGCGUUGGAUUAGCUAGUUGGUAGGGUAAAAGCCUACCAAGGCGACGAUCCAUAGCUGGUCUGAGAGGAUGAUCAGCCACACUGGGACUGAGACACGGCCCAGACUCCUACGGGAGGCAGCAGUGGGGAAUAUUGGACAAUGAGCGAAAGCCUGAUAAAGCAAUGCCGCGUGAGUGAUGAAGGCCUUAGGGUUGUAAAGCUCUUUUACCCGGGAUGAUAAUGACAGUACCGGGAGAAUAAGCUCCGGCUAACUCCGUG